rnacentral:rRNA from 1 species
CGUAGUGACCUGCGGAGGAUCAUUACCGAGUGAGGGCCCUCUGGGUCCAACCUCCCACCCAUGUUUAUUGUACCUUGUUGCUUCGGCGGGCCCGCCUUUGUGGCCGCCGGGGGGCUCUGCCCCCGGGCCCGCGCCCGCCGAAGACACCUAGAACUCUGUCUGAAGAUUGCAGUCUGAGUGAAAAUAUAAAUUAUUUAAAACUUUCAACAACGGAUCUCUUGGUUCCGGCAUCGAUGAAGAACGCAGCGAAAUGCGAUACGUAAUGUGAAUUGCAGAAUUCAGUGAAUCAUCGAGUCUUUGAACGCACAUUGCGCCCUCUGGUAUUCCGGAGGGCAUGCCUGUCCGAGCGUCAUUGCUGCCCUCAAGCACGGCUUGUGUGUUGGGCCCCGUCCUCCGCUCCCGGGGGACGGGCCCGAAAGGCAGCGGCGGCACCGCGUCCGGUCCUCGAGCGUAUGGGGCUUUGUCACCCGCUCUGUAGGCCCGGCCGGCGCUUGCCGAUCAACCAAACUUUUAUCCAGGUUGACCUCGGAUCAGGUAGGGAUACCCGCUGAACUUAAGCAU